CCGACCUGUGCAGGAGGAGUGUGGUCGGUCACACAGUGGGACCCGCUGCCUCUCCUCUGCCACCCUCUAGGCCCACGCGGAUGGGAGUGAUCAACCUAUGUGGUGGAGGUUUGGCCAGUCAUACCAGAGACCAAGCAGGAAAACGGUCCAGGCCACUGAUGCAGAGAGAAGAGAGGCGUGGACAUGUGAUGGGACUGGCUGAAGAAGCUCAUACCGAAGGCAGCAGAGCCAAGCUUUGAACACUGAUCCUUCUGUACUAAGAUCCUUAGAAGGGAAGGGACCAGGAAACAGACAGGGUGGGUAGGAAGCUGGCCAGUUCUGCCUGAGUGGGAGCCCCAGGCAACGUGUACCUUGAUCGUCGAAAGCAUGAGUCAGCUCAUGGCCCACCACGACACCAAUGCCACCGAAGUUCAAGGCGCUGGAGGAGGAACGCACAGGCAUCUGGGCCCUCCGGGCACCAAUGGCUCAAGGAGGCUGGCUGGCUAAGUAGCCAGCUACGAGGGCUGGGCAAGACUGGACUGGCGGCUGCUGAGGUUGGGGAAUGGUUGGGGAAAGAGCACCGGACAUGACCUACUUGGGCG